CCUACGGGAGGCAGCAGUGAGGAAUAUUGGUCAAUGGACGAGAGUCUGAACCAGCCAAGUAGCGUGAAGGAUGACUGCCCUAUGGGUUGUAAACUUCUUUUAUAUGGGAAUAAAAUGUUCCACGUGUGGGAUUUUGUAUGUACCAUAUGAAUAAGGAUCGGCUAACUCCGUGCCAGCAGCCGCGGUAAUACGGAGGAUCCGAGCGUUAUCCGGAUUUAUUGGGUUUAAAGGGAGCGUAGGUGGAUUGUUAAGUCAGUUGUGAAAGUGUGCGGCUCAACCGUAAAAUUGCAGUUGAAACUGGCAGUCUUGAGUACAGUAGAGGUAGGCGGAAUGCGUGGUGUAGCGGUGAAAUGCUUAGAUAUCACGAAGAACUCCGAUUGCGAAGGCAGUUCACUGGACUGCAACUGACACUGAGGCUCGAAAGUGUGGGUAUCAAACAGGAUUAGAUACCCCUGUAGUC
rnacentral:rRNA from 1 species